AGAGUUUGAUCCUGGCUCAGGACGAACGCUGGCGGCGCGCCUAACACAUGCAAGUCGAACGAGCGAGAGAGAGCUUGCUUUCUCGAGCGAGUGGCGAACGGGUGAGUAACGCGUGAGGAACCUGCCUCAAAGAGGGGGACAACAGUUGGAAACGACUGCUAAUACCGCAUAAGCCCACGGGUCGGCAUCGACCAGAGGGAAAAGGAGCAAUCCGCUUUGAGAUGGCCUCGCGUCCGAUUAGCUAGUUGGUGAGGUAAUGGCCCACCAAGGCAACGAUCGGUAGCCGGACUGAGAGGUUGAACGGCCACAUUGGGACUGAGACACGGCCCAGACUCCUACGGGAGGCAGCAGUGGGGAAUAUUGCACAAUGGGGGAAACCCUGAUGCAGCGACGCCGCGUGGAGGAAGAAGGUCUUCGGAUUGUAAACUCCUGUUGUUGAGGAAGAUAAUGACGGUACUCAACAAGGAAGUGACGGCUAACUACGUGCCAGCAGCCGCGGUAAAACGUAGGUCACAAGCGUUGUCCGGAAUUACUGGGUGUAAAGGGAGCGCAGGCGGGAAGACAAGUUGGAAGUGAAAUCUAUGGGCUCAACCCAUAAACUGCUUUCAAAACUGUUUUUCUUGAGUAGUGCAGAGGUAGGCGGAAUUCCCGGUGUAGCGGUGGAAUGCGUAGAUAUCGGGAGGAACACCAGUGGCGAAGGCGGCCUACUGGGCACCAACUGACGCUGAGGCUCGAAAGUGUGGGUAGCAAACAGGAUUAGAUACCCUGGUAGUCCACACCGUAAACGAUGAUUACUAGGUGUUGGAGGAUUGACCCCUUCAGUGCCGCAGUUAACACAAUAAGUAAUCCACCUGGGGAGUACGACCGCAAGGUUGAAACUCAAAGGAAUUGACGGGGGCCCGCACAAGCAGUGGAGUAU
rnacentral:rRNA from 1 species